GACGAACGCUGGCGGCGUGCCUAAUACAUGCAAGUAGAACGCUGAAGGGAGGAGCUUGCUCUUCUUGGAUGAGUUGCGAACGGGUGAGUAACGCGUAGGUAACCUGCCUUGUAGCGGGGGAUAACUAUUGGAAACGAUAGCUAAUACCGCAUAACAAUGGAUGACACAUGUCAUUUAUUUGAAAGGGGCAAUUGCUCCACUACAAGAUGGACCUGCGUUGUAUUAGCUAGUAGGUGAGGUAACGGCUCACCUAGGCGACGAUACAUAGCCGACCUGAGAGGGUGAUCGGCCACACUGGGACUGAGACACGGCCCAGACUCCUACGGGAGGCAGCAGUAGGGAAUCUUCGGCAAUGGGGGCAACCCUGACCGAGCAACGCCGCGUGAGUGAAGAAGGUUUUCGGAUCGUAAAGCUCUGUUGUAAGUCAAGAACGAGUGUGAGAGUGGAAAGUUUACACUGUGACGGUAGCUUACCAGAAAGGGACGGCUAACUACGUG
rnacentral:rRNA from 1 species